rnacentral:rRNA from 1 species
UUGGAGGGCAAGUCUGGUGCCAGCAGCCGCGGUAAUUCCAGCUCCAAUAGCGUAUAUUAAAGUUGUUGCAGUUAAAAAGCUCGUAGUUGAAUUUCGGGGUUCAUCCGUUGGUCGGGCUUUUUGGUCUGUACUGGCGUGAUGGAUUCCUACCUUCUGAAUAACCGGAAUGUCAUUAAUUUGGUGCGCCGGGGAAGCAGGACUGUUACCUUGAAAAAAUUAGAGUGCUUAAAGCAGGCUAUUGCCUGAAUACAUUAGCAUGGAAUAAUGAAAUAGGACGGCAUGGUUCUAUUUUGUUGGUUUCUAGGAUCACCGUAAUGAUUAAUAGGGAUAGUUGGGGGCAUUAGUAUUCAAUUGUCAGAGGUGAAAUUCUUGGAUUUAUUGAAGACUAACUACUGCGAAAGCAUUUGCCAAGGAUGUUUUCAUUAAUCAAGAACGAAAGUUAGGGGAUCGAAGACGAUCAGAUACCGUCGUAGUCUUAACCAUAAACUAUGCCGACUAGGGGAUCGGGAUGAUGUUAAUUUUUAAUGUACUCAUUC